rnacentral:rRNA from 1 species
UACAGAGGGUGCGAGCGUUGUUCGGAAUUACUGGGCGUAAAGGGCUCGUAGGCGGCCAACUAAGUCGGACGUGAAAUCCCUCGGCUUAACCGGGGAACUGCGUCCGAUACUGGAUGGCUUGAGUUUGGGAGAGGGAUGCGGAAUUCCAGGUGUAGCGGUGAAAUGCGUAGAUAUCUGGAGGAACACCGGUGGCGAAGGCGGCAUCCUGGACCAACACUGACGCUGAGGAGCGAAAGCCAGGGGAGCAAACGGG